rnacentral:lncRNA from 10 species
GUUUUUGGUUUUACAUUUAUGUCUAUGAAUUAUUUCAAGUUAAUUUUUAGCAUAGAACUUGCUGGAACAUGGGUUAAAUGGUCAGGAAAAGUGGUAAAUUAAGGAUAAAAAUUGCUACAUUCUUUGGAAAAUGAAAGCAAAUAGCAAGAUGAUAGUGUUAUUCAUAGAGAUGAAAGUGACUGUUAGACUUGGUGAUAAAAGCUGAGAAAACUGCUCAUUUUGGAGCACAUUUAAAUAUCUAUCACAGAGGCAAAUUGGAAGGUCAGGGAAAAAAAUUGGAAAAAUGAAUCUAGAACUCAGGUAACAGUAAGGAUGGUUGGGAAGGUUUAAAUUAGUAAAUUGGAAGAUUUCAUAGAAAACUCAUGAAGGUUAAGUGACCUGAGGAUGCAGAAGUGACCACUGGGCUAAAGUGAAGAACAAAUAUGGAGAGAAGUGGCAGGCUUGCAUGAUACACAUGCGUUCAGUAAAGCAAACACAUCACAACCCAGUGAGUAUUCUCAAUAUCAGCACAUCUCUUAAACUAGCACCACAAUCAAUAAUGAAAAUCCCCUUCAUUCACCAAUGGGUUCUAACUCCUAGAAUUUAUGAUUUCUAGUGCUCUGUAUUCUAACAUAUAUUUUGCUCAUCUUUGCAUUUUGUACUCUUUUGCUUAAUUCUCAGUGGCAUAUCUUCAUUUGGAGAGAUGUCUUUUAAGUCUAGUGGUGGCUUCUUGUCAUCCUGGUCCUACUCCUCCUCUUCCUCGUGUUCCUCUUCCUCCUUCUGUUCUUUCUCUUCCUGCUCCUUGUCCCUUUACAUCUUUAUCUUUAUUUUUACCUUCAUCUUCAUAUUCUUUUUCACCAGAAAUCCCUCAGGUUGACCAAGAUGGUGGUAUGUAGCUAUAUGUGCCACAUGUGGCCUGGAGUGUAGGACUGGUAAGAUGUGACUCAUAACAAUAUGGAUAGACGAUGUAAUUCUGGGUUUAAAAAAAAAAACCUCUGCAUGACCUACACUUCAGAGGCCCUUAGAGCUUCCUCAGUAAAUUUCUGUUCAUUUGUGUCUCUUUGGGUUGGUUUCCUACCUGGGGAUGUGACAACAUGGAUCACAGGCGUUACAGUUUCAAGGUACAUUUCCAUAGAAGAGGAUGACAAAAUAAUUGCCUUUACAUAGAAAAUGAGUCAUAGGAGGUUUCUCUUUGGAAUUCUUAAUUGUUUACCAACAGUUUCCCUAAAUGCACCAAGAUUCCACCCUCACAUAUGUGGCACUAGGCUACACGAACUUCCAGCUAUGACAGGAAGCAUUUAAGUUUCUGCUGUAAAGGAAAGAAGAGAUUCGGGGCAGAAAGCGUCCUGACUCUGGGGCAUUACUGAACUCCCCUGCUGAGGAAGGAAUUUUGGGGCCAAACAGCAACAAUAAGUCUAUCAAGCGUAUAGCAAAAAUAUUCCUGAUAGUGUCACAUGCCCCACAAUAUAGAGAUAUCUAAGGAUAAUUAAUAUCAAGGUCUGAAGUGAGAUAAUUAUGGUGGGCCUAGAAUAUGUGAAAACAAUGUCACAGGAAUGGCAAGAACCAAAUGAACAGAAAUAAUAGAGACUGAUAAAUUAUUUCAAGUCCUACUCUGAGUAAUUACUCAUGCAUCACAACAAGAAUGAUUACUUCAAACUUUCUGAUAACUAUAUAAACACAUGUAAAGAAGGAAGCAAUAUUUUCCGUAUUAUGGAUUCUUUGCGUAGCUUUCUGAAAUUCAAAACUAAAUAUUGCAAGCUAACUAAAAGAGAUGGAAUUUCUUCUAGAAUAUCAACCAAUACUUCAAGAAAGUUGUUUAAAAAUAGCAGAAAGGUCAAUAUAAUAAAAUAAGUCAAUAUCAAUAUUCCACUAAAUCAUAUUUAAUGCAGAUAUUCAUUUAUAUUUUAAACAGUCAAUACGUAAAGUACCUACCUGAUUGUUCACUUUAAAGCUGGUGCAAAUUAAAGUAAUAUGAAGGAUAAUAAUGCUUUGCAGAUUACUCUUUAAAAAUAAAUGAAAGAGAUAUUUAGAGAAUAUGUGAACUUUUAGAAAAACACAAAUAAGAAAAAAUGUGACAAAGUUUGAAUGAAGUAAGAUUUAUUCAUUCGUUUAUGUAUAUAUUUACUUCUGAGGCGGAGUCUCGCUCUGUCGCCCAGGCUGGAAUGCAGUGGCACGGUCUCGGCUCACUGCAAGCUCCGCCUCCUGGGUUCACACCAUUCUCCUGCCUCAGCCUCCUGAGUAGCUGGGACUACAGGAGCCCGCGACCACGCCCGGCUA